rnacentral:rRNA from 1 species
CCUACGGGUGGCAGCAGUGAGGAAUAUUGGUCAAUGGACGAGAGUCUGAACCAGCCAAGUAGCGUGAAGGAUGACUGCCCUCUGGGUUGUAAACUUCUUUUAUAUGGGAAUAAAAUGUUCCACGUGUGGGUUUUUGUAUGUACCAUAUGAAUAAGGAUCGGCUAACUCCGUGCCAGCAGCCGCGGUAAUACGGAGGAUCCGAGCGUUAUCCGGAUUUAUUGGGUUUAAAGGGAGCGUAGGUGGAUUGUUAAGUCAGUUGUGAAAGUUUGCGGCUCAACCGGAGAAUUGCAGUUGAAACUGGCAGUCUUGAGUACAGUAGAGGUGAGCGGAAUUCGUGGUGUAGCGGUGAAAUGCUUAGAUAUCACGAAGAACUCCGAUGGCGAAGGCAGCUCACUGGACUGUAACUGACACUGAGGCUCGAAAGUGUGGGUAUCAAACAGGAUUAGAUACCCGAGUAGUC